GAUGAACGCUGGCGGCGUGCCUAACACAUGCAAGUCGGGCGAAGCGCUUAAGUCAGAAUCUUCGGAGGAAGACUUUUGUGACUGAGCGGCGGACGGGUGAGUAACGCGUGGGUAACCUGCCUUACACAGGGGGAUAACAGUUAGAAAUGACUGCUAAUACCGCAUAAGACCACAGUACUGCAUGGUACAGUGGUAAAAACUGAGGUGGUGUAAGAUGGACCCGCGUCUGAUUAGGUAGUUGGUGGGGUAAUGGCCCACCAAGCCGACGAUCAGUAGCCGGCCUGAGAGGGUGGACGGCCACAUUGGGACUGAGACACGGCCCAGACUCCUACGGGAGGCAGCAGUGGGGAAUAUUGCACAAUGGGGGAAACCCUGAUGCAGCGACGCCGCGUGAGCGAUGAAGUAUUUCGGUAUGUAAAGCUCUAUCAGCAGGGAAGAAAAUGACGGUACCUGACUAAGAAGCCCCGGCUAACUACGUGCCAUCAGCCGCGGUAAUACGU
rnacentral:rRNA from 1 species